rnacentral:lncRNA from 1 species
AUGCCUCAGAAAGACACGCAGCAACAGAGAACCAGUCUCCCCAGGCUGUGGGUAAACAAAGCAGCUCUGCUUCAUUGUUGCAAUAUGUAUUCUGAAAAGAGCUGUACCAGCAUUCUUAUCAAGAAUGGUGGGGGAGAAGAAACAACAACCAAAACACUCAAAUCUUGCUGACUUGGUUGCUUUUAUAAACCAGUCCUCCUGCAACCCCAAUUGUGUAAUUUCUGUUUGUUUAGACAACUCUUCUAUGUACUAUGAUUACCCUCAGUCAUUGCCAUUAGAGAAGGGCUAAUAAGAGGAAAGGUAGAUACACAUUUUAUGAUUCUAGAGUGCCUGCAUAGUCUCAUCCACUUGUCCAGGUCCUGAAGCCCCGUCCAGAACUAUGCACCACAAAGAGCAAGACCACAGAACAAUUGCUGGACUGAGAUCUUCAUCCAUCUUCUGAGUGCCCAAUGUCAUGUAAUAUAACAGUUGAAGACAGAUUAUUCUUCUUGCUGAAAGGUUUUACCUCACAAAUAGGAAAAAUAACCCCUUGCUAACCACUUUUAUCCUCUGUAGUUCAUCCAUAAGGCACGAAGGCAGAGCCCUGUGCUAUUAAAGUUGCAGUAGAAGGGACACAACUGUGUGCUGUGGUUUAGAAAGCUCAGCACGCAAGGGCUGUAGGAGCAGAACUGCAAGUGCCUGAGAGGAGGGCUGUAUUUAUCUCAUUUGUAAAUAUAACCCAGGGUGUUUUCUUGUUUGUAACAGCGGUGAAAGUGUUUUUUUUUUUAGGUUACAACUUGAGGCCUCCGAAGAAAUACUGUUUACAAUUGGGCACACGUGAGUUAUGAGUAAUGUUAACUAUUACCUACACCUCCUUUGAAGUACAGAUACAAGAAUGAACAUUUAACUAUGCACCUGGGCACUUGGAUUGUGCAACUGAAGCCUUUCUCCUGCUGAAAUCCUUGCCUCACAAACUCCCCGAGCGCACUGUUUUUCCGUGCCCUCAUCCUGUUACUUUCUACGCUGCUGAAUAACUUCUGCCCAGCCAGCAGCUUUGGAAAGCUCUGACACCUCAAAAACGCGUGACAGAAAUCAAGCUUACACACCCCUGUG